rnacentral:rRNA from 1 species
GACGAACGCUGGCGGCGUGCUUAACACAUGCAAGUCGAACGGAAAGGCCCUGCUUGCAGGGUACUCGAGUGGCGAACGGGUGAGUAACACGUGGGUGAUCUGCCCUGCACUUCGGGAUAAGCCUGGGAAACUGGGUCUAAUACCGGAUAGGAGCCAUUUUUAGUGUGAUGGUUGGAAAGUUUUUUUCGGUGUAGGAUGAGCUCGCGGCCUAUCAGCUUGUUGGUGGGGUAAUGGCCUACCAAGGCGGCGACGGGUAGCCGGCCUGAGAGGGUGGACGGCCACGAUGGGAAUGAGAUGCGGCGCGGACGCCGCCGGGAGGCAGCAGUGGGGAGUGGUGCACAAUGGGCGCAAGCCUGAUGCCGCGACGCUGUGGGGGGGAGGACGGCCUUCGGGUUGUAAAGACCUUUCGCAAGGGACGAAGAUUUGUGUGAGGGUACCUAGAUAAGAAGCACCGGCUAACUACGUG